rnacentral:lncRNA from 9 species
GCCUUCUAUAAAUCACAAUUCAGAUGAGAAUGAAAGGACACAAUCCAGACCCAAGUCUAUGGAAGGGUGGUAAAAGUGAGAGACAAUGAAGAAAUAGAGAAUAAAUCAUGCUGGGUGAGUGUUUAGGGUUUAGGGAGGAAUGCACCUGAGGCUGGAUCCCAGCCGGUCCAUGUGCAUCAUCUUGAAGGUCUCCCAGAACGAGGCGUGAAUACCUCGGUCCUGAGAAGAGCUGUGAGAGAGAAGUGGCUCUAGGUGCCUGGGACAGUUCCUACCUGUCAUCACCGAUGAAGACACCAUCGCUUCCUCAGGCUUUGGGACGAGCUGCCAUCCAAGCCAAGCCUAAUGCAUCGUCUGCGAGUUAUUUGGAGGUCAAAGCUGCCAUUAACAUGAAUGUGAGACCAGGAGAAGCCUUGGAGCACAGCCAGUGCUACAGAAAGGAUGGAAGUUUGCUCUGUGCACAGGAGGGCAGCUCUCGGUCCAUUCGGCACCUUCAGAAACGAGGCUCAUUUCAAACCUCAGGAAAGCAGUGGGUGGUGGCUACUGUGUCAGAGCAAAAGUAGGACUGGAUGGGGUGGCUCUGGGGAAAGGAGUAGGUGCACCAGAGGCAAUGACUUGCCCCAGGUCGCACCCCUGGGGUGGAAGGGCCACGGUCCAGCCCGGGCAGUCACCGUCCUGAGCCUGCCUGGCAUCUGGAAGGUGGAAUAAACAUGUGAACGAGAAGCUAUUAAAUUUGCGUGUCUUUUUUGUUUAUUUUUGCCAGGGUGGAGAGAUGUUAAUGAUUAUUUUUCCUUCUUGAAAGAAGCGAUGUUUUAAAAGGGAGACGUGGCAUUCAUGGAGUGGCUGGGCUUUUCUGUAACUCUUGGGACGUGAUUAGUGAGCAGAAAGUCACUCGAUUUCCCGUGGCAUCUGUACCACACUCCUGUGCCCUGAAGCAUAGAUAAGACAACUGAAAAAUGUGCAAAUAUACAAAGUAACCAGGAUUCCAGAUUUAAAAUUCUGUUCUAAAUUAAGUGCUAUAACAUCAUUUAAGUACAUACUAUACUUGUUUACAAUGACGAUAUUGCAUCUCUUAUUUAGAGAAAAGGACAAGGAUAGGUAAUAUAUUUUAUAAUCUUUUAUCCUCAGUACUUAGCAGAUACUCAAUACCAGCUGAAUGAAUAAAAAGGUGAUUUAAAAGUGAAAAUGGAAUUAUGCUUCUUUCCUGGAUAGGCAGCCGUUCUUUCCUGACUGUUAAUAAACUAUUGUGUCAGCCAGGAACAUUUUUAUUUCUUUCCUUCAAAGGUUCCCAAACAAGAAGGUGCAGGUGAGAUGGAGAGCGAUUGACAUGUGGCCCCUUCAAGUUUCCCACCUCGAGCCUCUCAAAAUCAAUUCUAAGCCUCCACUUUAACUUUAUAUUUCCUGGAAAAGGGGAAUGAAUGUUUAUGAUAGUUAAUUCUUUUGUGUCAGCCUGACUGGGCUAAAUGCGGUCCUGAGAGACAAUGGAAGAUUAUUUCUUGAUGUGUCUGGUGGAGAUGAGCAUCUGAAUUGUUAACUGAACGAAGUCACUAAGGCAGGCAGGCACCAGCCCUACACUGACUUUUUGCGUAGAACAAAACAGCGAGGAAGGGAGAAUUUGCUCUCCACCUCAGUUGGUAUAUCCGUCUUCAUUGCAAAAAUGAAUCCUGUUGGACUGUGAAGCUGGCUGAAUGUCUGCCCUCAGACCUAGGCGAUCCUGGUUCUUGGGCCUUCAGACUCAAACUAGGACUUACAGCCCUGGCCCCCGGACACUCUUGCCUUGGACUUGACUGAAUUACAUCGCUGGCUUUUAUGGCUCUUCAGCCCACAGACGGCUGACCAUGAGACGUCCUGGCCUCCAGAAUUGUGUGGCUUAAUUCCUACAACAACAUCCUCAUCUGUAGAAGGAUGUGUGUCCCACUGCUUCUGUUUCUCUGGAGAACCCUGUCUGGUACCAUAUGCAUCCAACUAUCCUGACUCAUUAGAAUAAAUUGAGUUCAUCUCUUAAAUAUGUUGCAAAUCAUCUUGAAAGGCCCAUUGAGUGCACAGGUGGAUCCAGUGACAUUGACGACAAAGAUUCUGUUCAUGACACCUGUCAAAGGGAUGGACCAACGGAGGGAGCAACCCCCUUUCCACAUCGUUUACGUGGAAACGUCCCAAACUCUAAUCUUUGUAGUGUCCCUAGCUAAGAAGGAAAUGACCAGUCUGUGUCUUACCAUUGGUGAAAUUUGGUCCAG